rnacentral:rRNA from 1 species
CCUACGGGAGGCAGCAGUGAGGAAUAUUGGUCAAUGGCCGUAAGGCUGAACCAGCCAAGUCGCGUGAAGGAAGAAGGAUCUAUGGUUUGUAAACUUCUUUUAUAGGGGAAUAAAGGUAUCCACGUGUGGAUAUUUGCAUGUACCCUAUGAAUAAGCAUCGGCUAACUCCGUGCCAGCAGCCGCGGUAAUACGGAGGAUGCGAGCGUUAUCCGGAUUUAUUGGGUUUAAAGGGUGCGUAGGUUGUUUUUUAAGUCAGCGGUGAAAGUGUGUGGCUCAACCAGAAAAUUGCCGUUGAAACUGGAAGUCUUGAGUGUGUUUGAGGUAGGCGGAAUGCGUGGUGUAGCGGUGAAAUGCAUAGAUAUCACGCAGAACUCCGAGUGCGAAGGCAGCUUACUAAGCCAUAACUGACACUGAAGCACGAAAGCGUGGGGAUCAAACAGGAUUAGAUACCCGAGUAGUC